CCUACGGGGGGCAGCAGUGGGGAAUAUUGCACAAUGGGGGAAACCCUGAUGCAGCGACGCCGCGUGAGUGAAGAAGUAUUUCGGGAUGGAAAGCUCUAUCAGCAGGGAAGAAGCAAGACGGUACCUGACCAAGAAGCCCCGGCUAACUACGUGCCAGCAGCCGCGGUAAGACGUAGGGGGCAAGCGUUAUCCGGAUUUACGGGGUGUAAAGGGAGCGUAGACGGUAUGGCAAGUCGGAGGUGAAAGCCCAGGGCUUAACCCUGGGACUGCUUUGGAAACUGUUAGACUAGAGUGCUGGAGGGGUAAGUGGAAUUCCUAGUGUAGCGGUGAAAUGCGUAGAUAUUAGGAGGAACACCAGUGGCGAAGGCGGCUUACUGGACAGUAACUGACGUUGAGGCUCGAAAGCGUGGGGAGCAAACAGGAUUAGAUACCCCAGUAGUC
rnacentral:rRNA from 1 species